CCUCCUGGGCAUAGUCGGCCAAUCAGUGUUAAAGAAGGACAGAACUUUCUUUAUGUAUGCUACAACAGCAGCAAGAAUACUUAUUGCAAAGCAUUGGAAGACACAAGAUCUACCCACACUGGAGGAAUGGCAGAUGAAAAUGAUGGACUACAUGGAAUUGGCGGAAAUGACUGGCAGAAUCCGAGACCAGGGAGAAGAGUCGGUGGAAGAAGAUUGGAAGAAAUUUAAAGACUACUUACAGAAAUAUUGUAAAAUUAAUGAAUGUUAGAA
rnacentral:lncRNA from 1 species